AUGUUAUAGGCAAGAAGAGAAGGUUAGCAUUCCCGUUGGUAAGAAUGGAAAAGAUCCUAGUGGCCUUUACAACAUGUAUGCAGGUAAAACAUUGCCACCUCCUCUGUGGCAUCUAACCCUGAAUUUAA
rnacentral:ncRNA from 1 species